rnacentral:rRNA from 1 species
UACAGAGACGUCGAGCGUUGUUCGGAUUCAUUGGGCGUAAAGGGUGCGUAGGCGGUGAGGUAAGUUGGAUGUGAAAUCUCAGGGCCUAACCCUGAAAGUGCAUCCAAAACUGCCUUGCUUGAGGACUGGAGGGGAGACUGGAAUUCUCGGUGUAGCAGUGAAAUGCGUAGAUAUCGAGAGGAACACCAGUGGCGAAGGCGAGUCCCUGGACAACAACUGACACUGAGGCACGAAAGCUAGGGGAGCAAACAGG